rnacentral:lncRNA from 1 species
UGGUGUGAUGUCAAGCCAGGGGUCUAUACUUUGCUACUUUUCAGUAUGCACAUAGCUAGGCUCUUGGUUUAGGCAUGGAGCAAAAAAUUAAAUUUUUUAGCUGAGUAGUUUCCCCAAGGGCCAAAUUAUAAUUGUGAUGUAUAUAUAUAAAAUAAAAGUUGUAAUUAAAUUAUGAUUUAUGUUUAAUUCAAACAUGGAUACCAAUGGCAUUGCUACACAGUAUUUCCCAGGAGUUUAUUUACAAGAUAGGUGAUAGCAGGAAAAAUUAGGUUGAUAAUAAUGUGAGCACUAAAUCCUUAAUUUUACAUAUCAUGAGUUCAAACAGUGUGUUCUGAAAG